ensembl:lncRNA
UAUGAUAAGAUGCUGCCUUUAAUGGUGAUAACUGUGGGCUAAACAUGACUAGAGAGAUUUGUGUCUGGGCUUCUAUCCCCUGUGCACACGGGGAGAUUGGUGUUUGAUUUGCAGCCACAUCUGAGAUUUGUGGAGCUUGUCACUGCUAGUGACUACAGCAGACUUGAGAGCUGUGUUCUCAGUCGCUUCAGUCAUGUCCAACUCUUUGCAAACUUAGCCUGCCAGGCUCCUCUGUACACCGGAUUCUCCAGCAAGAAUACAGGAGUGGGUUGCUGUGCCCUCCUCCAGGGGAUCUUCCCACCCCAGGAAUUGAACCCAUAUAUCUGGCAUCUCCGGCAUUGCCAGCAGGUUCUUUACCCGCUGAACUGCCUGGGAAGCCCUUCUUCCCUUUCCACUUCCCUCCAGUCAUACUGUCAUCAGAUCGUUCUCACAUUCUUCAAAGUUACAGAUUCUUUGCGUACUGUUAGGUAUAGGUUUUACUUCACUUGUAGGUGGUCUUGGGG